UACGUAGGUGGCAAGCGUUGUCCGGAUUUACUGGGCGUAAAGAGCGCGCAGGCGGCUGGUCAAGUCCGAUGUGAAAUCUCCCGGCUUAACUGGGAAACUGCAUCGGAAACUGAUCGGCUUGAAGGUGGGAGAGGGUAGUGGAAUUCCCGGUGUAGUGGUGAAAUGCGCAGAUACCAGGAGGAACACCGAUGGCGAAGGCAGCUCGCUGGGACGGUACUGACGCUGAGGCGCGAAAGCGUGGGGAGCAAACAGG
rnacentral:rRNA from 1 species